CGUACAUGACAUUAUACAUGAUGGGUAAACCAGUCUGGAAUCCUAUUCCCCGAAAAUAUAAUUCCACCUGAAAGUGCCUCCUCAAGUUGUCCCUGUUGAAUGAUUAUCAUUAUAACUUUCAGUAAUACAACCCAUAAACAUUAAUGGCAUACACAAAUACGUAUAAGAGAGAGA